GGAGGGGGCAAGCGUUGUUCGGAUUUACUGGGCUUAAAGGGCACGCAGGCGGUUUGGUCAGUCGGGUGUGAAAGUCCUCGGCUCAACUGAGGAAGUGCGCUCGAUACUGCCUUACUAGAGUUCGGGAGAGGAGAGUGGAAUGGCCGGUGUAGGGGUGAAAUCCGUAGAUAUCGGCUGGAACACCAGUGGCGAAGGCGACUCUCUGGCCCAGAACUGACGCUCAGGUGCGAAAGCCAGGGUAGCGAACGGGGGAUUAGAGACCCCGGUAGUCCUGGCCGUAAACGUUGGGCACUAGGUGUAGGAGGUAUUCAACGUCUUCUGUGCCGCAGUUUAACGCGAUAAGUGCCCCGCCUGGGGACUACGGUCGCAAGGCUG
rnacentral:rRNA from 1 species